AUUGAACGCUGGCGGCAUGCCUUACACAUGCAAGUCGAACGGCAGCACGGGAGCAAUCCUGGUGGCGAGUGGCGAACGGGUGAGUAAUAUAUCGGAACGUGCCCAGUCGUGGGGGAUAACGUAGCGAAAGCUACGCUAAUACCGCAUACGAUCUAUGGAUGAAAGCGGGGGAUCGCAAGACCUCGCGCGAUUGGAGCGGCCGAUAUCAGAUUAGGUAGUUGGUGAGGUAAAGGCUCACCAAGCCGACGAUCUGUAGCUGGUCUGAGAGGACGACCAGCCACACUGGGACUGAGACACGGCCCCA
rnacentral:rRNA from 1 species